AUUCCAGCUCCAAUAGCGUAUAUUAAAGUUGUUGCAGUUAAAAAGCUCGUAGUUGAAUUUCUGUACAGUCCCGGUUCUGGCUUCGGUCAAGCCGUGGAUUGUGCAUCCGCUUGCAAAUCUAGCUCGGCCUUCACUGGUCGACUAGGAGAGUAAGCCCUUUACUUUGAAAAAAUUAGAGUGUUUCAGGCAGGCAAUGGCUCGAAUACAUUAGCAUGGAAUAAUGGGAUAGGACUUUUGUCCAUUUGGUUGGUUAUUGGACAUGAGUAAUGAUUAAAAGGGACAGUUGGGGGCAUUAGUAUUUAAUAGUCAGAGGUGAAAUUCUUGGAUUUAUUAAAGACUAACUUAUGCGAAAGCAUUUGCCAAGGAUGUUUUCAUUG
rnacentral:rRNA from 1 species